rnacentral:lncRNA from 1 species
AUGAACUUUACAUGCUUAAAAAUAAUUAUUUAUUUUAUUGCUUUAUGUAAUUUAGAUUAAGUGAUCAUUGCUUACUGAGCUGUCUAGCUCAUUUAUUACAUAUAAAUGGAGCAACCGUGUUUGUGCGUCUCCAUUUGACACGUGGUUGAAGGAGUCGUGUGGUCUUUUAGAAAAGCGAAAGGAGCCAAGCAAUCGUGAGCCGAUGUCCCUCUUCCUCAUCUAUCCAAGGCAAAGCCCCUCCAUUGCUGCCGUGCCCAGUUGGAGAUCGAGGAUGACCACACUAUCGUGAUCGCUCCUCCUCCUCCGCCGCUGCCAACCCACCCCCUCCCCGAUCGAUUCUGGGUCCCACAAUACCCCCUCCUCGUUUAUCUCAGAUGAAGCCCCCUCCUCCCCUCCAAGUUCUCCCAAAUGGAGAAUGAGCAGAUCUGGAGCCGUCGGAGCCCCUCCCCUAUCAUUGCCGUGCCCAACUGGAGAUCGAGGAUGAUUGCUGCCGUCUCUAUCACUACCGCUUCUUCUCCUUUUCCUUUGUCGCCACCAACCCACCCCCCUCCCC